AACAGUGUGGCAUAGUGGUUUGAGCAUAAGACUAGAACUCUGGAGACCAGGGUUCGAAUCCCAGCCCAGCCA